GCCGAAGUGGCGGAAUUGGCAGACGCGCUACGUUCAGGGCGUAGUUCUCGCAAGGGAGUGUGGGUUCGACUCCCACCUUCGGCACAA
rnacentral:tRNA from 1 species